AAAGUCUGCAGUGGUGCACAGUCAUGUCCGAGGCCUCCACAUCCACUUCCCUUCUCACUCACAGACUCACCCAGAGCCACUCCCAGUACUGCAAGCUCCACUCGUGGAUGAUGGGAGCAGUCCAGAAGACAGAUGGCAUAUUGUCCCUUAUUUCCACGUAGUAGGGUCUAAGAGUGGUAGGGAAGGAGCUGUUCUUAGCCUCUGUCUCCUAAAGGAAGAGUGGACUUUUCAAUGCUUUUGACAUCUUUUUUUUUUUUUUUUUUUUUGAGCCGGAGUCUCGCUCUGUUGCCCAGGCUGGAGUGCAGUAGCGUGAUCUCGGCUCACUGCAACCUCUGCCUCCCAGGUUCAAGCGAUUCUCUUGCCUCAGCCUCUCCAGUAGCUGGGACUACAGCUACAUGACACCCCACCUGGUUAAUUUUUGUAUUUUUAGUAGAGAUGGGGUUUCACCAUGUUGGCCAGGCUGGUCUUGAACUCCCGACAUCGUGACUGUCAGGCCUCUGAGCCCAAGCUAAGCCAUCAUAUCCCCUGUGACCUGCACGUACACAUCCAGAUGGCCGGUUCCUGCCUUAACUGAUGACGUUCCACCACAAAAUAAAUGAAAAUGGCCUGUUUCUGCCUUAACUGAUGAUUUUAUCUUGUGAAAUUCCUUCUCCUGGCUCAUCCUGGCUCAAAAGCUCCCCUACUGAGCACCUUGUGACCCCCACUCCUGCCUGCCGGAGAACAACCCCUCUUUUUCCUUUAUCUACCCAAAUCCUAUAAAACGGCCCCACCCCUAUCUCCCUUCGCUCUCUUUUCGGACUCAGCCCGCCUGCACCCAGGUGAAAUAAACA
rnacentral:lncRNA from 10 species